rnacentral:rRNA from 1 species
GAUGAACGCUGGCGGCGUGCCUAAUACAUGCAGGUCGAGCGAACAGAUGAGAAGCUUGCUUCUCUGACGUUAGCGGCGGACGGGUGAGUAACACGUGGGUAACCUACCUAUAAGACUGGGAUAACUCCGGGAAACCGGGGCUAAUACCGGAUAAUAUUUUGAACCGCAUGGUUCAAUAGUGAAAGACGGUUUCGGCUGUCACUUAUAGAUGGACCCGCGCCGUAUUAGCUAGUUGGUAAGGUAACGGCUUACCAAGGCGACGAUACGUAGCCGACCUGAGAGGGUGAUCGGCCACACUGGAACUGAGACACGGUCCAGACUCCUACGGGAGGCAGCAGUAGGGAAUCUUCCGCAAUGGGCGAAAGCCUGACGGAGCAACGCCGCGUGAGUGAUGAAGGUCUUCGGAUCGUAAAACUCUGUUGUUAGGGAAGAACAAAUUUGUUAGUAACUGAACAAGUCUUGACGGUACCUAACCAGAAAGCCACGGCUAACUACGUGCCAGCCGCCGCGGUAA